AACCAAUUAAUAAACGCUUUUAUUUCUUCUAUUUUCUUUUGUAUAAAUAAACAUCAACAGAUAGUUUGGAUGCCAUGAUCCGUUGAUAAGAAACUUUUAACACAAGUUUAUUUGACAAUAAUAAAACAAAAAGCAGCGAGUUCUCGUUGGGUGAUUAGCACGGUUUGUCAAUCUGGUAGAAGCACGUACAAAUGGGCUCAUCACCAAGCUUUUUCACGAUGCAGUCGGAACCUACAUAUUGUUUGGCAUAGGCGAACUUACAAUAUGGCUCACAGUCUGGUUUUUUAUCACCUCCUUUACACGAAAUAGCGUCAACUUCUGAUGGACAUACGCUAGCAUUUGCUUUGAGCACGUGGGUUAUCACCAACAUGGCUGCAAAAUAAAAUAAUGUGUUUAGGACUAAUAGAAAGAAUAUUUUAGAUAACAUAGGAUAAUAGAAAAGAUUGACAUACAACAGAAAAUUAAUUUAAUUGGAUUAACGUAGUGGAGAAAAGAAUACAAAGUGUUGUUGUACGUACCACAAACGUAAGCUAUGAGGGAAAAAGUGUUACAAAAUGAUGCCUUAACCUUUCCCAUUGAAGAUGCCUG
rnacentral:lncRNA from 1 species